CCCCUCUUGGGGGUGUACCUGGAGAGUUUCCAGUACUCUACCAGUCUCAACUAUGGAAGGGAGAGUCAGACAGAGGUCUACCAAUUCCAUUCCUAGCUUGGGCAGUGGUUAGCCAGUGGAAGGCAAUCUGCUACAAGU